rnacentral:rRNA from 1 species
UGCAGUCGGACGGCAGCGCGGGGGCAACCCUGGCGGCGAGUGGCGAACGGGUGAGUAAUACAUCGGAACGUGUCCUGGAGUGGGGGAUAGCCCGGCGAAAGCCGGAUUAAUACCGCAUACGCUCCAUGGAGGAAAGCGGGGGAUCUUCGGACCUCGCGCUCAAGGGGCGGCCGAUGGCGGAUUAGGUAGUUGGUGGGGUAAAGGCCUACCAAGCCGACGAUCCGUAGCUGGUCUGAGAGGACGACCAGCCACACUGGGACUGAGACACGGCCCAGACUCCUACGGGAGGCAGCAGUGGGGAAUUUUGGACAAUGGGGGCAACCCUGAUCCAGCAAUGCCGCGUGUGUGAAGAAGGCCUUCGGGUUGUAAAGCACUUUUGUCCGGAAAGAAAUCAUUCCUGUUAAUACCGGGGGUGGAUGACGGUACCGGAAGAAUAAGCACCGGCUAACUACGUGCCAGCAGCCGCGGUAAUACGUAGGGUGCGAGCGUUAAUCGGAAUUACUGGGCGUAAAGCGUGCGCAGGCGGUGAUGCAAGACCGAUGUGAAAGCCCCGGGCUCAACCUGGGAACUGCAUUGGUGACUGCAUCGCUGGAGUAUGGCAGAGGGGGGUGGAAUUCCACGUGUAGCAGUGAAAUGCGUAGAGAUGUGGAGGAACACCGAUGGCGAAGGCAGCCCCCUGGGCCAAUACUGACGCUCAUGCACGAAAGCGUGGGGAGCAAACAGGAUUAGAUACCCUGGUAGUCCACGCCCUAAACGAUGUCAACUGGUUGUCGGGCCUUCAUUGGCUUGGUAACGAAGCUAACGCGUGAAGUUGACCGCCUGGGGAGUACGGUCGCAAGAUUAAAACUCAAAGGAAUUGACGGGGACCCGCACAAGCGGUGGAUGAUGUGGAUUAAUUCGAUGCAACGCGAAAAACCUUACCUACCCUUGACAUGUACGGAAUUCUGCCGAGAGGUGGAAGUGCCCGAAAGGGAGCCGU